CAAAGGCGGCUGCUCUGGAGGCAGAGCCUUCGCCCAGGCAUCCUCACAGCAGGGUGGUACCUGACCCAGAGCUCUCAUCCUGGGGGUGGUGAGAAACCCUCUGCCUGGUGCUGUUCCUGCUGCCAGGCUGGUUUUAGGGCUGGUGGGAGGGGAGAAAGACCUGUUUCUGGGAGCUGGAGAAGAUGGAAGAUGCUCCCAGAGGCUGGGAGCAUUGCUGCUCUCUAGACAUUAGGACCUCAGGGCUGCUGAUGGGUCCUGCUGGAGCUGGGUGUAAUACACCCAUACCAAACCAGUACUUGCCUUUCUAGGCACUCGGUAGCCUAUCUGACCGUGUGUAGGGAUGCUCGGUGGUCCAGUGGCUUCAGCUGCAGGCCAGGGGCACUCCUGCUCCUCUCUCUCUAAGCACCAGGCUGGAUUGUGCAGCGGGGUGAGAGUAAAGCAGCGUUUCUUCAUCCCCCAAGGGCUUUGCUGGGCUUGGAUGGGGCUGGAGGGGGAGAUGGAUGGGAGGAGCCGGGACUCCACUAACCUGAUUAACCAGGUUAAAACCCAGCCUUGCAAAAAUCCAAGCCGUCUCGCUGCAACCUCCUCCUGCCCUCCCAGGGUACGGCUGGUCCUGAGUGGGACCCCCGCCCCCCCAGCCUCACGCCCCCGCUCCCCUCCCGCAUCCCAGAGCAGCCAGGUAUGGUGGGGAGGUGGGAUGCAACGGCAGGCAUCGCGCCUCCGGCUCCCGGGACCGGCGCCAGCGGCGAGGACCGGCGGCACAGCUGGGGAGCUGGGUCCUGCUAAGAGGAUGAAAACAUGGGGCUCAAGUUAUCCUGCCUGAAAGGCUUGAAGACGUGUGUGAGCAGCGGGAACGGCAGCGACAGGACCCCGGCGGCAUCCCAGGGCGAGAAGCACCUCCACGUGCCCUCCAUCAUCGUCACGCCGCCCACGCCCACAGGGACCAUGCUGUCCCGCGAGGCCCGGCGGGUGGGGGGGCCGCUGCCGUGCAGCCAGUGCUGAAGCUCAGGGACCGGGGAGGGGGGACGCCAGCCCAGCAGGAUCUCUCCCCGCUCCACCGGGAUGGAGCCGCAGCCACCGGGAUGCGAACUGGCCAGAUCCAGCACCCCAGGAGCUCUGUGGGGACACGCGGAGCACCCACCACACGGGUGGGUUUGGACACCAGUGACUGGUUUUUCUCUUUUUUCCUAAAAAUGCUGGGGAGGGGGUAGCAGUGCACAGCUCCUCCCCGGUGAAUAAAGCCCCUGGGGCGUCGCUCCCCCUGGCUUGGCACCCACCGCCUCCCUCAGGCUGUGUUGGCGGGGCAGUGGGUGGGCUGUGUCCCCCCCCUAAAAAAAAACCCCCCAAAGCUAGCCCUGUGCCGGAUGGGGGGGCCAAAAGUGGGGUACACACACCCUCACACUCCAAUCCCACCUUUCUGCCCGGACUGAAGAAACCGGUUGCAAAUGGCACCGGAAAAAUGAACUCGGUGUCGCCUGCAACCCACUGUCGUGGCCCCGUGGGAUCAGCCGCGUCCUGGGGAGGGAGCCGGGGGCGACGCUUCCCGGGGAGCGGCGGCACCAGAAGCCGGCGGGA